rnacentral:rRNA from 1 species
AGCUCCAAUAGCGUAUAUUAAAGUUGUUGCAGUUAAAAAGCUCGUAGUUGAAGUUCUGAUUGUUCGGGUUUCUAGACAUUAGUCGGAGAUACUGACAGUCAUCCGCUUGCAAACAUAUGUUCGACCUUAAUCAGUUGGCUAUGUGAGUAAGCAUUUUACCUUGAGAAAAACAGAGUGUUCCAGGCAGGUUUGUCCGGAAUGCAUUAGCAUGGAAUAAUAGAAUAUGACUGAAGUCUAUUUAUUGGUUACAGGCUUUAGUAAUGAUUAAUAGGAACAGUCGGGGGCAUUCGUACUCAGCAGUCAGAGGUGAAAUUCUAAGAUUUGCUGAAGACGAACUAAUGCGAAAGCAUUUGCCAAGGAUGUUUUCA